AUCCUCCAGUUUCCUUCUCCAUCAGAUCUACACACUGGUCUGAGUGGUGACAACAAGAGGAAGAAUAGCAUGGGAAUGGACUUCCAUACUUGUCUAGCACACGGGCUGGUGUUAAACAGUU
rnacentral:snoRNA from 1 species